UUGUUUUAAAACGUAGACCGUAGACCGUAGACUUGUAAAAUAGGCAUAAAUAGGUCUAUAUUUUAAAAUGUACAAAAGAUUUCAAGAGAUCAGUAUUCAGUAUAUUAUUGUAAAACUAAUAUUGUAUAAGUUUUUGACUAUUGUUAACAAAACUUCCCAUAAAAAAUGUAAUAAAGAAAAAAAUCUACAACUGUAAUAAGCAUACAAUAUUGUGUACCUACUUUGAUGAAUGAUGAUAAUAUUUAAACAGGGCAUUAAACUAUUUUUUGGGUCAUUUUUGAUACCUACUUUAAGCUCUGAAGUUGUCUACAUCUCACUAUACUACUUGACUAUUCAUAACCAUUGUAUGGUAUAAGUUGUUGGGCCAACUACACAUUAGAGCUUGACUAUGUAUAUAAUAAUCUAAUAUGUAUAUUAAAAGUUUAAAUAAUAUUUAA